UACGUAGGGUGCGAGCGUUGUCCGGAAUUAUUGGGCGUAAAGAGCUUGUAGGCGGUUUGUACAGUCAGGCGUGAAAUUCCCCGGGCUCAACCUGGGGGCUGCGCUUGGAGACGUGCGAUCUUGAGUGGGGGAAGAGGGUCGUGGAAUUCCCAGUGUAGAGGUGAAAUUCGCAGAUAUUGGGUGGAACACCGGUGGCGAAAGCGGCCCCCUGGCCCGGUCCUGACGCUGAGGCGCGAAACGUGGGGACAACGGGAGUAAGAUACCUUG
rnacentral:rRNA from 1 species